UUUUUCGCUGGUUAAUUAUGUACUGUCUACCGUAUUCAAGGGCGAAUUUUUUGUUUUUUUUUUACUUUUUUUUGGUAAAAUGUUUCCGCACUUGUUGUUCCUUUUGCGGAACGUUUGCUUUGUUUCUCGUGAGUUUUUUUAUUAUUUCUCAUCUCCAAGUAGUUUGAAAUAUUACUUCUCUAAUUUAUUUUUGGCUUGUAGCUCGAUUUUCUUGUUAAUCAAUUACCGCGUAUUAAAAUGAACUUUGUAUUACAGUGCCGACGGGGAUAAGCGCUUUAGGCGCGUUGCUGUUCCUGAAGGUGAAGGCGGUGCUGGUGGUUCUGGUGGCGGUGAUAAUAAUCGGUCUCCUGAGCAAGGUGGCCGGGGGUUACGGGGGCGUCCACUGCGGGGGUGGCCCCAUGUGCCCGCAGAUUCCCCACUCGGCCGAGUACCCUCCAAGCGGGCACACUGCCUACAGAGAGGACUACUUCCCGCACUAUGAGCCCACUGCCACUGGGCCCUACUCCAGGAGCUCCGAGUCCCAAGGUGUCGUAUCCAGAAUGCUCAACACAGUUAAUGUGGUGGAUCUAGGGUUUGCCGUUUUGGAUAUUCCUAGUGAUGAGUGCCGGAGGAGACUUGUUUGUGAAAUGGACAAUUCUGCCAUUAGGCAUCCACCCCUGGCCUUCCUCCUCGAUACAUUUAGGGAAAAUUUGUCAAAAUACAGGGAAGAAACAACCACAGAUGGUAUGAAGAACUGCGGGAAACUCUAUGCCCACUGUGACACCUGGUUCCCACUCACUGUCGUGAAUGCAUCGAUGCCUGGAUGA
rnacentral:lncRNA from 1 species